UACGACCACAUCACAUUGAAAAACAAGCUCUCGUACAAUCAUCGAAGUUAAGCAACGUCGAGUCUGGUCAGUACUGAGAUGGGUGGCCUCUUGUGAAUACUAGGUACUGUAAG